UGGGGGAGGCCAAUGAGAGCUCAGGCUCUGGGCCAGCACAUUUAGGGCGGUCACUCCACUGCAAACCGCACCUUGGCUCACACUGGGGCAGGCUCAAGGGGGGAGGAUCCGUACAGGUCAUUCCUGUGCUGGUGUCUUAGGGUGUGGGACGUCUACUGGAGUGAUCACACACAGGAGGAAGGCUUUCCCAGAAACAAUGCAGGGCCUGGCUGCCUGGUAAGCCACUCAAUACCAAAUCAGAAACUCUGCUAACUCUUGAGGUCCGCAAGCAGGCGCUCCACGCCCUUGGAAAGGCCACCUCCCGGGACCCUAGGUCUCGGGAAGGACUGAAAACGCCACAAGGCCACAAUCAAACUUUUCGAGCUGCUGAAAGAGGAUGACAUGAAUUGUGUGGAGAUGAUGUAAGUGGAAGAAAGGAGAACAAUCUGACAAGGGCGGAAGAGAAGGAGAAACAGUAGAUGAGCUGACCGUCCUCAGAAUAAAGCAUACAGUGGCUCACUCCUGUAAGUCCUACACCAAACCAAGCCAAAAUAGUAUUAUUUGGGCUGUAUAUGCCUUCCUGACUCCAAAGUUUCACAACAAAUAAAAUAACCCCAAAACAA